CCUACGGGUGGCAGCAGUGGGGAAUAUUGCACAAUGGGGGAAACCCUGAUGCAGCGACGCCGCGUGAGUGAAGAAGUAAUUCGGUAUGUAAAGCUCUAUCAGCAGGGAAGAAAAUGACGGUACCUGAGUAAGAAGCCCCGGCUAACUACUUGCCAGCAGCCGCGGUAAUACGUAGGGGGCAAGCGUUAUCCGGAUUUACUGGGUGUAAAGGGAGCGUAGACGGCAGUGCAAGUCUGGAGUGAAAGUCUGGGGCUCAACCCCCGGACUGCUCUGGAAACUGUAGGGCUGGAGUGCAGGAGGGGUAAGCGGAAUUCCUAGUGUAGCGGUGAAAUGCGUAGAUAUUAGGAGGAACACCAGUGGCGAAGGCGGCUUACUGGACUGUAACUGACGUUGAGGCUCGAAAGCGUGGGGAGCAAACAGGAUUAGAUACCCGAGUAGUC
rnacentral:rRNA from 1 species